UACAGAGGGUGCAAGCGUUAAUCGGAAUUACUGGGCGUAAAGCGUGCGUAGACGGUUAUUUAAGUCGGGUGUGAAAGCCCCGGGCUCAACCUGGGAAUUGCAUCGAGACUGAAUAGCUAGGGUGCGGAAGAGGGAAGCGGAAUUUCCGGUGUAGCGGUGAAAUGCGUAGAUAUCGGAAGGAACACCAGUGGCGAAAGCGGCUCCUGGUCCAGCACCGACGUUCAGGCACGAAAGCGUGGGGAGCAAACAGG
rnacentral:rRNA from 1 species